rnacentral:snRNA from 1 species
UGAUAUGAGGAUGAGCUAGCUGAGACACCAGUCAGCCUACUGCCCCAGGCUUGAUUCUGCUGAUCUAGCUGGCUAGGCAGGUUGCCCCUUCCUCCUUUACUGCUCACUGUGUGUCCCUCCUGAAGACCAACAGAGGAGAGAGGAGGACUGUCCUUUGGUCAAAGCUAUAUGAGUAUCUGUGCUCCCCAGCUAGAACCACUAAUUAUGCUCUCUGGGAGCACACUUUGUGAACCUGUCCUAAAACCCUAGAGUGAUAACAAGCAGAGCCUUGAUUUCUCAAGGUUUUCU